rnacentral:rRNA from 1 species
CCUUUCAGCAGGAACGAAAUUGACGGUACCUGCAGAAGAAGCCCCGGCCAACUACGUGCCAGCAGCCGCGGUAAUACGUAGGGGGCGAGCGUUGUCCGGAUUCAUUGGGCGUAAAGAGCUCGUAGGCGGCUUGGUAAGUCAAAUGUGAAACCUCCAGGCUCAACUUGGAGAUGCCACUUGAUACUGCCAUGGCUUGAGUCCGGUAGGGGAUCACGGAAUUCCUGGUGUAGCGGUGAAAUGCGCAGAUAUCAGGAGGAACACCGGUGGCGAAGGCGGUGGUCUGGGCCGGAACUGACGCUGAGGAGCGAAAGCGUGGGGAGCGAACAGGAUUAGAUACCCUAGUAGUCCAC